CAAAACCUUUUAAAACCAUCCUAUAUUUUCUUUCUAAACCCUACUCCCCGUUCAGCAAAACCCCUCCCGUCCCUUUAGCCGCCGCCGCCGUCUCAACGGCUGCCGCUGCACCGAUGAACUCGCUGCCACUCCCUCCCUUUCACACUCCCUCGUCUCUCCAAGAAAUCAGAACUACUUAUCGUCGUUGUUUUUUUUUUCUUUCUCAGAAACAAAAAAAAAGUGGUUUAGCCCUUAAACCGCGCCGUUGGUGAGAUCUCGCUGACACUCACUUGCAUGCCGCUCAUUUUCAGCUAUCGAAGGUUUUGAUGAUUUGGUUCUGUUUCAUCGAGUUACAGGGAAGAACUUGCACAAAAUUUCAAACCACAAACUGAUUUCAUUUCUUCCGUGUAUGUCUGAUUUGAAAUACUUCCGAAUUCGCGGGAGUUAUCUUUUCUGCUUUCUCUAGCUUCUACCACCAUUGUUCAUUUUUCUCAUGUUGCGUUGGAACACAAGAAAGUUGAACUUUUUUGGCAAUGAUAUGGAGAUAUGGCUGUAAUAUCUUCCAAAUAGCACCUCGUCAAAUCUUCAGAGCAUUUGCCCGUCAUUCAUAUCGUCAAUGUACAACCCCACUUAUAAAUUUAACUAAAAUCCUCCACAAUCGACUAGACGAAGACAUUGAACAGAAAAUUCCUAAGAACAGGCAAGUGAUUCUCACUAAUGAUCUCGUGUACACCACUCUGUUGAAUUGUUCUUCUGAUUUAAUCGCUUUGAGCUUUUUCAUGUGGUGUGCUAAACAGCCCAAUUUCUUCCACAACCCUGCGGCGUUUGAUUAUAUGGUGGGUGUGGUUUCCCGUCUCAUGAAACAAUAUGAAACUGUGGAUGGGAUUCUUGGGGGGUUGGAGAGUGUUGGUAAUGUGACUAAGGCACAAACGUUUCUGCUUCUUUUGAGGAUUUAUUGGCGUGGAGGAAUGUUCGAUUUGGUUUUUGAAGCAUUUGACCAUAUGAAUCACUGUGGAUUUACACCAAACACAUUUGCACGUAACGUGAUUAUGGACGUGUUGUUCAAGGUUGGACGUGCUGAUGUUGCUUUGAAGGUCUUUAAAGAGACCCAGCUACCAAAUUUUUUGACAUUCAACAUUGUGUUGUGUAAUUUAUCCAAAAUAAAGGAUUUGAUAGGUAUUGGAGAUGCUUUUAGAUGUAUGUUGAGAAUGGGGUAUUAUCCUAAUCCUGGGACAUUUGAAGUGGUUUUGAAUGGUUUAUGCAAAUUAGGUAGGCUGGCAGAAGCAUAUCAAGUAUUGGGUAUAAUGACAACUUUUGGAAUAUCCAUAUCCGUAAACAUCUGGACUAUAAUGAUUGAUGGAUUCUGUAGAUUGCACAGAACCGAUGAAGCUACUUCUUUGGUGAAAAAGAUGAAAAAAUCUGGUUGUUCUCCAAACAUUGUGACAUAUACUACAUUGAUUAAGGGAUAUAUAUAUGCACAACGAGUUAUUGAUGCAUUUGAUGUUUUAAGUAUUAUUGAAUCAGAAGGGCCUUCCCCUGACCUUGUUCUUUAUAAUGUAUUGAUUGAUAGCCUUGCUAAGAAUGAGAGGUACAAUGAUGCUCUCAGUAUUUUUCUUAGUUUGGAUAAACGAAAGAUACUGCCCGACUGUUAUACCUUCAGUUCAUUGUUGAAUACCAUAUGUUUAUCCAAAAGGCUUUUUCUUCUACCCAAGUUGGUUGAUGGAUUUUUUGUUGAAGUUGACUUGGUAGCAUGUAACUCUCUGCUUAGUUAUCUUGGUAAGGCUGGGUUAGCUGCACUUGCGUUGGAACUAUAUGAUAACAUGGUGAAUAGAGGUUUAAUGCCAGAUAAGUAUAGUGUUCUUGGAGUACUGACUGGUCUUUGUGAAUCAAGGAGAAUUGGUGAAGCAGUUCGUCUGUACAAUGGCAUUCUCUUGAACUAUACAGGAGUUGAUGCUCAUAUCCACACUGUAAUUAUGGAUGGACUUAUAAAAGCUGGUAAGUUUCAUUCAGCCAUAAGGAUAUUCAGAACAAAUUUAUUGGAGGAAAAUUCUUUAGAUGUUGUAUCAUAUUCUGUUGCCAUUCGUGGGCUUCUUAUGGUCGGUAGAAAUAGAGAGGCUUCUAACUUGUAUAACUAUAUGAAGGAGGCUGGAAUAAAUCCAAAUGGGCAUAUUUGCAAUGUAAUGCUCUCCACUUUUUGUAAAGAAAAAAAUUUUGCAUUAGUGAAGCAGGUGCUGCAAGAAAUGAUUGACCUGGGAAUAGAAAUGAGUAGGAAUAAUUUCUUUCGGUUAUACAAAGCCAUUUGUAGAUCAUCAAACGACUCUCAUUUGGUUAUCCAUUUAUUAAUUGAGAUGAAAGUUUUGGGAUUAUUACCUAGGAAACGAGAUUGUGAAACAUUGGUUCUUUAUCCCCCCAAAGGUGUGAAUAUUUCUGAAAAACAUUAUAAAUUACUGAAUGGCUGUCUAGAAUACUGUCUAUAUGGUGAUACAUCUAGCUCCGAAGAAUAUACUGAUGUGGCCGCUUUUGUGGGCUGAGUUUGUAUGUGGAAGAAAGUCAAUUUUCGAAAUGAUGGUUCAGCUGCUAUUUUUGGCAAUCUAGAAUGUAUUAUAACAUGUCUCAAGCAGUAUAAAGACUGGAACUCCAUGGAAUUGAAAGCUAUAUCCAGCUGCAGAUUGGGUACAAGGCUUUCGCAGCUGGUUUUUUUUGCGCCUUCAUGAUAUUUAAAAGGAUCACAUGUUGGUAUAAGUUUGGUGGAGUAGCUGCUCCUUCUCAAUGGCGAAAGCUUAAGAGAAACAAUAGUCUUCAACAACCAAGAAAGUUCCUUUGUGGGGGCAAUUUAAUCUGUGUGCUGUACUUGCAUUGAGAUAAAAACCUCGAACUCUGCAGCAGAAGACGAUGAGCCCUAAGUGAUGUCGAUGCUCAAAUAUAUUUCCCUUGUUGAUGUAGGGAUAAAUCUUCUCAUAUAGGGAAAAUUUCAGGCUAAUCUUUCGUAUGUGAGACGAGACAAUGAUAUCCUAGUUCCCACAUCACUGGAUCUGUUUUGGUUGAUGGUCGAUCCAAGUUUUAAUUUUGCAGCAGAGGGCUUUGAAGAACUUCCAGAGAUGUCACUGGUUCCGUAUUGUAGAAUGUAGGUGCCUGUUUCUGAUAAAAAAGAAAACAUUUAUUGUAGAUUGGGGGAUGGAGCCGUUGGUGCCAGACUUUGGAAAAGGCUAUUCUUCUCGCUCAGGACAAACCUAAUCAAUGGCCGUCUCCGCCUCUAUUUGUUGAAUGACAUGGCUUAAACUUCAAAGAACUGUUUUACGCAGUAGAGCUUAGAUUUCGAGAGACCGUGUUUGACGAAGAAUCAAAGGAACAGGCGACUCAAAGGCCUGAUCUGCUGAAGAGUCAAGGUGGGGUUCUUGUAAAUUUGUGUUUGAGCUUCUUCGUAAAAAUUUCCUCAGAAGUUGUAAUGUAGAAUUUUAGAAUCCCUUUGGAAAUAGUUGUAUACUUGCCUCAAUGCUGUUAAAGGCCCCUGUUAAGAACUUUGCUCUUAAGAAUCUCUCUCUCUCUCUCUCUCUCUCUCUCUCUCUCUCUCUAUAUAUAUAUAUAUAUAUAUAUAUAUAUAUAUAUGACUUUCUUUUGUAUUGAGAGACUUGUAAAUUACUUAUGUUACAGGUGUGCAAGUCAACCAUUUUUUUUCCCUUAAUAUAUUUGGGAGAUUGGAAUGAAAUUCUGAUCCCGACAUUAUUCCCUA